GUCUGGUAUAUUGAUACUCAGCCCUCCUCAUAUGUUUCUGUUAGCUGGAGCUAAAGUUUAUGUCAGCUAUGCUAUGUUAGCUGUUUCGAGCUAAGCGUGGAUUUUUAUUCUCUCACUCAGCACAGUUUGAUCGUCUGUCUUCAGUCUUAACUUUAACCCAGAUUGAUCUAGUUUUAUGAUGCCGAAGUCGGCAAGCAUCUUCAGGAGAUUAUGGCAGUUAUGGAUGUUGGUCAUUAUCACUGAAACCGUAUUUUGUUGCUUCAGCAGUAAUGAAGGUAGAGCUAGACCUGCAGGAACAUCAUCUGCAGCUAGACUUUACUCACCAGAACAAACUGAAAGCCAAUCUGCAGCAGCUGAGAUUCUGGGAGGUUCAACACCAAAACUUGAAGCUUCAAACUGAGCCGUCAACUGAACCAAGAUGCCUUUCAAACAACUACAGUAGUUAACCUGCUCUGUUGGUAGAUGUUAUGGUGUCUCCUCAAUCUGUACAGCCUGACCUUGGUCUUUGAAUACACAGCUUUAUGGUGUUUUCCUUUAAUUUAUUAUAGUAAAUAUUUGAACAUCCAUGUAACUUUUAAGACAUUUCAUUGUUAACUUUAGGUAGCUGUGAAUCCAUCCAUGUUAACCUGAACCUAUUUUGUUAAAGAUUGAACAGAUUUGUUGCAAUCUUAAAUAUUUAAUCUGUACUUUGUGUGCAGUGAAAUGAACAUUAAAGUUAAUUCAGGAAACACUUUUGUCAUCUUCUUUCUACAGUACAAAUUGAAUAAUGCUUCUAUUAAAAUCAUAUAUUUGUGACAUCAAACUUUGUUUUUGUCAUAAAGCAGUGGUCAAACUAUGGCUAAAUGUUUGCAAUUUACUUUCAACAAAUGGAAACCAAAAUGGUUUUGAAGUAAAAACACUAAUACUCAUCUACGUCAACGCAGGUAAAGUUUCCACUGUAUGCAAGUAAAUGUGAUUACGAUUGAAUGACAAUUGUACAGCAGGGCUUUAACUCCAGUUCAUAAGGGUCGGUGUCCUCCAGUCUUUAGAUGUCUCUUCUUUAACACACCUGAGUCAAAUCAUGAGGUCAGAAGUCAUUAGCACGACUCUGGAGAACUUGACUGUCCUAAGCAGCCAUUUAAUUCAGCUGUGUUGGACCAGGAAGUAUCUAAAUGUUGCAGGACACCAAACAUCGAUGCCUGGAUCUGAGGAUCCUGUUAGAGGAUCAGUGGGUUCCUGCAGCAGCUCCAUCGGAUCAGAA